GCUUAACACAUGCAAGUCGAGGGGCAGCAUGGUCUUAGCUUGCUAAGGCCGAUGGCGACCGGCGCACGGGUGAGUAACGCGUAUCCAACCUGCCUUACACUCUUGGACAGCCUUCUGAAAGGGAGAUUAAUACAAGAUGUUAUCAUGAGUAAGCAUUUUCGCAUGAUUAAAGGUUUACCGGUGUAAGAUGGGGAUGCGUUCCAUUAGAUAGUAGGCGGGGUAACGGCCCACCUAGUCUUCGAUGGAUAGGGGUUCUGAGAGGAAGGUCCCCCACAUUGGAACUGAGACACGGUCCAAACUCCUACGGGAGGCAGCAGUGAGGAAUAUUGGUCAAUGGGCGAGAGCCUGAACCAGCCAAGUAGCGUGAAGGAUGACUGCCCUAUGGGUUGUAAACUUCUUUUAUAAAGGAAUAAAGUCGGGUAUGGAUACCCGUUUGCAUGUACUUUAUGAAUAAGGAUCGGCUAACUCCGUGCCAGCAGCCGCGGUAAUACGGAGGAUCCGAGCGUUAUCCGGAUUUAUUGGGUUUAAAGGGAGCGUAGAUGGAUGUUUAAGUCAGUUGUGAAAGUUUGCGGCUCAACCGUAAAAUUGCAGUUGAUACUGGAUAUCUUGAGUGCAGUUGAGGCAGGCGGAAUUCGUGGUGUAGCGGUGAAAUGCUUAGAUAUCACGAAGAACUCCGAUUGCGAAGGCAGCCUGCUAAGCUGCAACUGACAUUGAGGCUCGAAAGUGUGGGUAUCAAACAGGAUUAGAUACCCUGGUAGUCCACACGGUAAACGAUGAAUACUCGCUGUUUGCGAUAUACUGCAAGCGGCCAAGCGAAAGCGUUAAGUAUUCCACCUGGGGAGUACGCCGGCAACGGUGAAACUCAAAGGAAUUGACGGGGGCCCGCACAAGCGGAGGAACAUGUGGUUUAAUCCGAUGAUACGCGAGGAACCUUACCCGGGCUUAAAUUGCAGAUGAAUUACGGUGAAAGCCGUAAGCCGCAAGGCAUCUGUGAAGGUGCUGCAUGGUUGUCGUCAGCUCGUGCCGUGAGGUGUCGGCUUAAGUGCCAUAACGAGCGCAACCCUUGUUGUCAGUUACUAACAGGUUCCGCUGAGGACUCUGACAAGACUGCCAUCGUAAGAUGUGAGGAAGGUGGGGAUGACGUCAAAUCAGCACGGCCCUUACGUCCGGGGCUACACACGUGUUACAAUGGGGGGUACAGAGGGCCGCUACCACGCGAGUGGAUGCCAAUCCCCAAAACCUCUCUCAGUUCGGACUGGAGUCUGCAACCCGACUCCACGAAGCUGGAUUCGCUAGUAAUCGCGCAUCAGCCACGGCGCGGUGAAUACGUUCCCGGGCCUUGUACACACCGCCCGUCAAGCCAUGGGAGCCGGGGGUACCUGAAGUGCGUAACCGCGAGGAGCGCCCUAGGGUAAAACUGGUGACUGGGGCUAAGA
rnacentral:rRNA from 1 species